AGUGAACGCUGGCGGUAGGCCUAGCACAUGCAAGUCGAACGGCAGCACAGGAGAGCUUGCUCUCUGGGUGGCGAGUGGCGGACGGGUGAGGAAUACAUCGGAAUCUACUCUGUCGUGGGGGAUAACGUAGGGAAACUUACGCUAAUACCGCAUACGACCUACGGGUGAAAGCAGGGGAUCUUCGGACCUUGCGCGAUUGAAUGAGCCGAUGUCGGAUUAGCUAGUUGGCGGGGUAAAGGCCCACCAAGGCGACGAUCCGUAGCUGGUCUGAGGGGUUGAUCAGCCGCACUGGAAUAGAGACACGGUCCAGACUCCAAAGGGUGGCAGCAGUAGGGAAUAGUGCACAAUGGGCGCAAGCCUGAUCCAGCCGUACCGCGUGGGUGAAGAAGGCCUUCGGGUUGUAAAGCCCUUUUGUUGGGAAAGAAAUCCAGCUGGCUAGUACCCGGUUGGGAUGACGGUACCCAAAGAAUAAGCACCGGCUAACUUCGUGCCAGCCACCGCGGUAA
rnacentral:rRNA from 1 species